GAUGAACGCUGGCGGCGUGCCUAAUACAUGCAAGUCGAGCGAACGGACGAGAAGCUUGCUUCUCUGAUGUUAGCGGCGGACGGGUGAGUAACACGUGGAUAACCUACCUAUAAGACUGGGAUAACUUCGGGAAACCGGAGCUAAUACCGGAUAAUAUUUUGAACCGCAUGGUUCAAAAGUGAAAGACGGUCUUGCUGUCACUUAUAGAUGGAUCCGCGCUGCAUUAGCUAGUUGGUAAGGUAACGGCUUACCAAGGCAACGAUGCAUAGCCGACCUGAGAGGGUGAUCGGCCACACUGGAACUGAGACACGGUCCAGACUCCUACGGGAGGCAGCAGUAGGGAAUCUUCCGCAAUGGGCGAAAGCCUGACGGAGCAACGCCGCGUGAGUGAUGAAGGUCUUCGGAUCGUAAAACUCUGUUAUUAGGGAAGAACAUAUGUGUAAGUAACUGUGCACAUCUUGACGGUACCUAAUCAGAAAGCCACGGCUAACUACGUGCCAGCAGCCGCGGUAAUACGUAGGUGGCAAGCGUUAUCCGGAAUUAUUGGGCGUAAAGCGCGCGUAGGCGGUUUUUUAAGUCUGAUGUGAAAGCCCACGGCUCAACCGUGGAGGGCCAUUGGAAUCUGGAAAACUUGAGUGCAGAAGAGGAAAGUGGAAUUCCAUGUGUAGCGGUGAAAUGCGCAGAGAUAUGGAGGAACACCAGUGGCGAAGGCGACUUUCUGGUCUGUAACUGACGCUGAUGUGCGAAAGCGUGGGGAUCAAACAGGAUUAGAUACCCUGGUAGUCCACGCCGUAAACGAUGAGUGCUAAGUGUUAGGGGGUUUCCGCCCCUUAGUGCUGCAGCUAACGCAUUAAGCACUCCGCCUGGGGAGUACGACCGCAAGGUUGAAACUCAAAGGAAUUGACGGGGACCCGCACAAGCGGUGGAGCAUGUGGUUUAAUUCGAAGCAACGCGAAGAACCUUACCAAAUCUUGACAUCCUUUGACAACUCUAGAGAUAGAGCUUUCCCCUUCGGGGGACAAAGUGACAGGUGGUGCAUGGUUGUCGUCAGCUCGUGUCGUGAGAUGUUGGGUUAAGUCCCGCAACGAGCGCAACCCUUAAGCUUAGUUGCCAUCAUUAAGUUGGGCACUCUAAGUUGACUGCCGGUGACAAACCGGAGGAAGGUGGGGAUGACGUCAAAUCAUCAUGCCCCUUAUGAUUUGGGCUACACACGUGCUACAAUGGACAAUACAAAGGGCAGCGAAACCGCGAGGUCAAGCAAAUCCCAUAAAGUUGUUCUCAGUUCGGAUUGUAGUCUGCAACUCGACUACAUGAAGCUGGAAUCGCUAGUAAUCGUAGAUCAGCAUGCUACGGUGAAUACGUUCCCGGGUCU
rnacentral:rRNA from 1 species